ACAGGUGCUGUCUUAAUUUUUACCGAAGUUCACACGGGGAUUGCCUCGAGUGUCCAUUGGGAACUUAUGGAAUAAAUUGCAGUGGUAAAUGUGUAGAUGGUUUUUAUGGAAGAUUUUGCAGGUCGAAGUGUUACUGUCCUACAGAAAGGUGUGAUGUAAGAUAUGGAUGUCAAAUGGAAAGCAUGGAAAAGUAUAGAGAGGUUUCUAGUGAGUGGACACCCCUGACGUAUGCCCUGGUUGGAUCUGUA